GAUGAACGCUAGCUACAGGCUUAACACAUGCAAGUCGAGGGACCGGCGCACGGGUGAGUAACACGUAUCCAACCUGCCCUUUACUCGGGGAUAGCCUUUCGCAAGAAAGAUUAAUACCCGAUUUAAAGGAUGGGGAUGCGUUCCAUUAGGUUGUUGGUGAGGUAACGGCUCACCAAGCCUUCGAUGGGUGGGGGUUCUGAGAAGAAGGUCCCCCACAUUGGAACUAAGGCACGGUCCAAACUCCUACGGGCGGCAGCAGUGGAGAGUAUUAGUGAAUGAGCGCUGGCCUGAACCAGCCAAGUAGCGUGAAGGAUGAAGGGUUAUGAGACGUAAGCUUCUUUUAUAUAAGAAUAUGUAUUAUAUGAAUAAGGAUCGGCUAACUCCGUGCCAGCAGCCGCGGUAAUAC
rnacentral:rRNA from 1 species